ACUGGGGUGGGGUAGUGGUAACCUUAACGCUUCCCAAAUGGGUGUUCUUCAGCGUUAGCGCCGGGUUCGAUUCCCGGUCCCAGUA